UACGUAGGGUGCAAGCGUUGUCCGGAAUUAUUGGGCGUAAAGAGCUCGUAGGCGGCUUGUCGCGUCUGCUGUGAAAUCCCGGAGCUCAACUCCGGGCGUGCAGUGGGUACGGGCAGGCUAGAGUGCGGUAGGGGAGAUUGGAAUUCCUGGUGUAGCGGUGGAAUGCGCAGAUAUCAGGAGGAACACCGAUGGCGAAGGCAGAUCUCUGGGCCGCUACUGACGCUGAGGAGCGAAAGCAUGGGGAGCGAACAGGA
rnacentral:rRNA from 1 species